UCACAGCCAUUCUGCCACCGAAAAUCACCGUGACCCAACCUCCACGUUCCGCUGCACAUCACCCUCGAUUCUACGCCGAGCUGCACUGGACGAUGCUCACGACUGCACCUUUUUGACUACCAACUCCACCGUUGUUUUCUUCAUACAUAUCGGUAACCCUUUUUUUUCUGAUCCCUUUUGAAUACUUGUUUUCUUUGUUGUUGUCAUUUGAUUUUAUGCCAUG
rnacentral:lncRNA from 1 species